AACAAGGCUCAGCUCAUUAUGGCCAAACAGUAACACUUUCAACGUGUUGGCUUUUUAAAAGUUACUCCUUAAUAACUCAGGCAAGAGAAUUUUAUCUCUCCUCCAUCAAAAACCAUGAAGAAGAUCUCUUUCUCUGUAUCAUCAAACCAAUCUUCUUCAAAAUCAAACACCAAAAUCAAGAAUGAUUCAGCCCCAAAACCCCAAAUUGAUGGUGAAUCAAUCACCGAAUUUAACCCUUCUCAAACCCUAAUCCUAGAAAAAGGCCCCAAGAAAGUCGUGAUUCCCCCGAAACAGAACGAAUGGCGUCCCGCCAAGAAGAUGAAGAAUCUCGAUUUACCCCCAAUUCACUCCGAAGGAAAACCCCUUGAAUUUGAAGUUGAAAACGAAGCUGAUGUUGCUGCCCCAGAAGCUGAUUCGAAGAUUUCAUAUGGGUUGAAUCUGCGCCAAGAUUCGGUUAAUGGUAAGGCUGAAUUUGAUGUUCCUAAUUCAAUUGAUUCGAUUAUGCUUAAGAAAUUGAGGAAUGAUUUAGAUAAGUUGCCUGAAGAUGAGGGUUUUGAUCAAUUUGAGGAGGUUCCUGUUGAGGGUUUUGGGGAAGCUUUGUUAGCUGGGUAUGGGUGGAGAAAAGGGAUGGGAAUUGGGAGAAAUGCUAAGGAGGAUGUCAAGGUUGUUGAGUAUAAACGUCGGACCGCGAAAGAGGGGUUAGGGUUUACUGAUGAUAAUGUGCUUCCUGGGAAAGUUGAUGAGAAUAAAAAGAAUAAAGGAAAAUUUGAGGUUGGGAAAGAGGUAAGGAUUGUUGGUGGAAGAAAGAUGGGGUAUAAGGGUAGAGUUAUUGAGGUGUUACCGGGAGGUGAUUCGUUGUUUUUGAGGCUUUCGCGUAGUGAUGAGGAAGUGAAGGUUCGAGUGGAUGAAGUGGCUGAGUUGGGUUCUUUGGAGGAAGAUAAGUGUUUGAAGGAAUUGAAGGAGUUGAAGAUUCAAGGUUCUAAAGAAUCUUCGAGGGGUAGUGAUAAGAAGGGGAGUAGAGAUUCGUCGAGUGAAAGAAAGGAAAGUAAGAGAGGUAGAAAUGAGGGUAGGAGAGGUGAUGUUGGUGAAGUUAAGAGUGAACGCAGGGUGCGGGUGGAUGAGAAAAGGACUAGUAGUAGUGGAGUUUCUUGGCUUAGGAGUCAUAUUAGGGUCAGAAUUGUUAGCAAGUCGUUUAAAGGAGGAAAGUUUUAUUUGAAGAAGGGUGUGGUAAUCGAUGCAGUUGGAGCCAGGACCUGUGAUAUAACAAUGGAUGAUGGUAGGGAGAUUGUUCAGGGAGUAGAACAGGAGAUUUUGGAAACUGCUCUUCCUAGACGAGGUGGUCCUGUUCUUGUUCUUUUCGGAAAGCACAAGGGUACAUAUGGCAGUCUUGUUGAGAAAGAUUCUGAGAGGGAAAAAGCUGUAGUUCAAGACGCUGAUACACACGAGCUGAUUCAUGUGCAGCUUGAACAAAUAGCUGAAUUUGUUGGAGACCCAAGCGAUAUUGGUUAUUGAUUAUGGAUGCCAUAUUGAACUAGUAUAACAAGCGUUUCUAUCCCGUGGUUAACAAUUGGUAAGUAUAGGAGUUUAUAACUAAUGGGAUAUGGUGGCAGCAGUGGAACUGUGGAAGUGGACAGAGUUCCUUGGGCUAUUUGUUGGAAGCAUUGAAGCUCUGAAGCCUGCUUCUUACUAAAGCUCCAGCCAAUGUUAGUUCAGAACCAGCUGUGAAAGGAGCAGCAAAGCCUGUUGCUGCUAAAACGUAGCUUAUUGAUGUCCAGAAGGCUCCUGCAGGAGUUAAUACUAACUGUGAACAGAAAUUUGGGGAUAGACUACGUGGAUUUGUAUUUGGUGUUUUACGGUUUUAUUCACAACUAUAGACCCGGCUUGAACAAAGAGGUCUUUGAAGAGUUGCAUUUGGAAUUCAUUUGGAAUGGCAUGGGGAAAUGCCUUGAAUUAGGCCUAUGUAAUGCCAUUGGCAUUACAAACUUCAACCCCUUCUAGAUGCACUGAUUCUGUAUGCCCUGAUGCUAAUCAGCUGCUAGAAACGCUUUCUGAUCCUUUGGAAUCAGGCAUAAUGAAAAUAUUGCUUGUCACCUGUUAGAGGUGACAAGGCAAGGCAGUUACCCAUAAAGUGGUUUGAAGGUCAAGGAAUAAGAGUCACUGAGAAGAGACUUCACCAUAUAUCUUGGAGUCAAGUAAGCUAUCUUUUGCCCAUUAGCAUUGUUAUGUGGCCAUCUGUUGGUGCUGGUAAUCAUUAACUUACAACGCUGUCUUUCAAAUUUAUGACCAUGUUGCAUACCACUUGAACUUGAUAAAGACCCUGAAUAUAUAAUUGUGAGGAUUGAUUGUAAGUUUAUUAUUCGUAUUAUGCAUAAUAUUGGUAAUACUUCAAACAGCUUUAUAGUAGCUAUUGCAAGCACAA